AACCUUAUGGACCUGCGGGCGUAUACCUGCGGAAGGAUCAUUACUGAGUGAGGGCCUUCGGGCUCGACCUCCAACCCUUUGUGAACACAACUUGUUGCUUCGGGGGCGACCCUGCCGUUUCGACGGCGAGCGCCCCCGGAGGCCUUCAAACACUGCAUCUUUGCGUCGGAGUUUAAGUAAAUUAAACAAAACUUUUAGCAACGGAUCU
rnacentral:misc_RNA from 1 species